UUUUUCUUUUUUGGAGAACAAGAUCGAGCCUAGUAUGAGCAAAUCACAAAUUAAGAGCGACUAUCCGAUAUAAAAAAUCGAAUCGAUUUUAUUCUUCUAUUAGCUAGUUGACUGAAUGGUUAGAUAACGAAGACAAGAAAAUCACGACAUGAAUUUUACACCCACCGUUUUCGACUCCUGCUGCGCGACCAGUUGACUACCUAACAGCGGGGGAUGAUGAGUGUGGGACGAUCAACAUGGAAAUGGAAGAAACCCGCACGAGUCAUUCAGUAGUGUGUAAAACAAUCAUUGUGAAUCAUCACGUGACGUUUCUAUAAAUAGUAGUAAUAAGCUCUGCACUUGGCGUAACACUUUUCUAGAAACGAGAUUUAGUCGAUACUUGGAUUCUGUUACUCAAGAACUCGUCGUAUCAUAGAACGUCACAUCGCGGUCAAGUUGAUCACCGGCAAACUGCGACGAGAAAGCGGCGUGUACGGAACGUUAUAUUACGAAGUAGAACCGAUCGUUGGCAUCGUAAACGUAGGGUUGUAGCCGCAGCAACACCGGUAGUAGCAGCAGCGGUGGCUCGACGGAUGUGUUGGCGGUAGAACAACGCUGGUGUAGUGGUAGUGACGCGCGUAUCAACAACGAAGGGAGCCAUACAGUUGUAGUAGUGGGCAUUAGUAGUAACGGCAGUAGGUAACAGGCAGGCAGGCAGACAGGCUAGCAGGCAGGAAGGUGGUUAGCCCGAACUGGCUGGGUUGGUUGGCAAAGUGGAGGACGUUCGUGGUGAGUGGAGUUUGUAGUGGCGUGCGGUGUGUUGGUUUACGCGCGCUGGAUUUUCGCCCCGAGCGAGCCAUCUAACCAGCUAGCCAGAGAGAACGAUGCGCGGAGGGAACGAGCGAAAACGAGGAAGAGGAAUCACGCGACCGUGGGGUCAAACGUGAUAUCUCUUUCUCCUCUCUUCUCCAGAGACUCUUUCUCUCUUCUCCUCCCAUGCCUCUCGUCGACGUCCUAGCUCUGAGCUUUCUUAAGAGGGUCUCCCCUAUGCCACGUACAUCCGUUAUCCGCACCCGCCGUCUAAAGAUUACAACCUUAAAACCGUCCUUAUCCCUCGCCAUAUCGUUCCACUCGCUGGCUCUCUUUUGUUCGUGGCUUCUUUCACUUUCAUUUUUUCCCUCCCAUUUCACUCUUCUGUAAUACGCUCGUCCACCCACGUCAAACGAGCGUAAGCGGACAUUCUCUAGCAAUUUUACCGUGACACCGGUCGUGCUCUAAUUUCCCUCGACCUUGUUACACGCGAAUCUCGCACAUAUAUUUCGAACGUGUUUGAAUGCCGUAGUGUUAUCUCGUUAACACUAUUGACGGUGCAACCGUCGAUCGUCAAAGAACUAUGCACUAUGUGAGCGCAAUCAUCUCUGUUUUCUGAAAUUACCUCGCGGGCUAUAGAAUUCGAUGCUAAUAACAACAAAUAUGCCGUAUGUUCUUAUAGUGUGUACGUUUUUGAUCGCAAUUAUUGAUUAUUAUAUUAUCAAUUAUGCCAUAUCGCGAUUAUGCUUAAUAUAGCAGUAGGUAUGUUAAUAAAAACGACAACAUCAUAUUUUUCUUCGGGUUACAUUUUUGCGUUUAAAAAUUCAAAUACAGACUCUGAUUAAAACGACAAUAAAAAUUUUCCGCAUUACCGUUGCAUUUUAAAAAUUUAAUUUUGGCAACCAUGUUGUACGUCUGCAACAGUUUACAAUUAAUGAAACGAUCUUUCGAAACAUUCCUUGGGAGAAGGUGCUCAAGAAACUUUUGAAUCGCGAUACAACGGCGGUUCUACAAGACCUAUGCAUGUACAUCCUUAAAAACAGCAUACGUACGUUUUCAGACUUCCGAGUCUCGUUGAACGCGCGCAUAUCCCGCGGGAAUCAAUAUCCGCGCGUCUCUCUCUCUUUUUCUCCCUUAUACCCCUGUCUCUCCCUUCAUCGACCAUCUCGCUCGCCCUCUUCGCUCCUCUCUCCUCUUCGGUAUACGGAUCUGCACCCCUCACCUAUACCUCAUCGCGGGGCGCUGCACCUUCUUCGGUAUCCCCGUGCACCAUGUACCACCCCUAGUAUGACGCGAGGCAGGAUGAAGCAGAGAGGAGCGGAAUGGAACGGCGCGGCCGUCCGCUUCUGAUGAAUGUGAUUUAGAGAAGAGGGGACGAGAGAGAGAGAGAGCGCAAGUGGAAUACGGUCUUCUUCCUUUGGUACCUCCGCAAUCCCCUUUCCACUCACCCGCCUACCCUCUAGACUUCAGGUCCCCUCUUCUCUCCUCUGACCAUCCUCAUACCACCACUAUGUUCCCUCCUCUAUCAACUUCCACCACGUCAACCAUCUACCCAUCCCUCCCUCGUUUUCUACCCCCGGCAGCUACAUCUCACCCAAGUCGACACACAACUACAAAACAUUCAAUUUGAACGUAAAGUUAAAACGAAAUGGAUUUUCCAGCGCGAGUACAGUCCCCGUCAAAAACUUACGGCCAGUCUAUCCCGAUGACUGCCGCGACGUCAGAUCGCGCGGAAGUUGCUGAUAACGAAAAAUGGAGGAUUUACAUCGUCGUGUUUGUCACUUUUGUCGUGUGUAACCUAAUCGGAGAGUAUUCUUUGUAUUCUCGUUCUUAUUUUCCAGUAUUUUUCCGUUAAAAAUCGAUUAAGUAUCAGGAGCAAUACGAGAAUCGGAGAACUCGGCGAGACAUAAUUAAUAUUACUUUGCUUUUUCGAUAGAUUUUUUAUGCUUUUAACAGCUUAUUUCCCUUUCUUGCCGAUGUUAUUCUUUGUUUUUUUAGUUUGAUAAAUUACGAUUAUCGAUCUUCCAGUAUUUGUCUAAUUUUAUCGCCGUCCCGUGGCACGAGCUACCAACAGUUCCGACAAGGAAUGAAAUUUAAUAAGCUUCCUCAUCGCAAAACACUCCCGAGAUUGAUCAAUUCUUGAUGUUCGUUUCGGUAGAGGUACAACGAUAAAAAAUCCCUCAAGUUGUUUAUACGGAAGGAAUCAGCCGCGAUAUUAUUCAUCGAGUAUAUCCAUUAUCAUUUGCGCUCUUAAUUACGGAGAACAAAAUCAACGAGAGAGAGAGAGAGAGAGAGAGAGAGAGAGAGAUUCUGAUUGGAGAAGAUUGUAUAUUUAAUAGACAGCUCGUAAAAAAUGCCUGAACAUCGAUCGAAGUUGCAUAAUCGUAGACGUACGAAACGCGCGCGCGCGCUCAGCGAAGUUUCCUUUAAUAACAAAAGUAACUCCGAGCCGAAUCAAAAUAAAAGCGGAUUCGUGGAAGGAUCUGCACUCUGGCGAAUCGCAAGUGAGAUAUGAAUUAUGCAUUCCCGCCUAACGGAGAGAGAGAGAGAGAGAGAGAGAGAGAGAGAGAGAGAGAGAGAGAGAAAGAGAGAGAGGUUCCCCUUCUUGCUUUUCGACUUACCCGGGGAAUCGAGCGCGGGGUCCAAAACGACCGAUAGAAAAAUACGAAACACGCCGCGAGAAGACAGAGAAUGAGAAUAUACAUUUUUCUUUUUUCUCUUUGUUAUAUCUUCACUCAUAAAAUUUAUCAAAGAAUAUAAGUUUCCUCUUCGCUCACGAAAAACAACAGAACGAAAGUACAGUGUGCGACAUAAAAAAGGAGGAAAGUUAUGUAAAAUAUGUAAACUAUGGAUUAUCUUUUUUUUCUAAAAAUAUUCAUGAAGAUCCUGAAUCAGCAUUUUCAGUAACCAUCGUGUAGCUUUGUACCUCGACUUUUCCGUCGCGUAUGCAUCAUUGUCGAUCGAAAACACGAGUAAAGGAGGAAGAUUGGUAUUGCAGCAACGUUUGAUCUGUAUAACAAGGUGUAGGUAUCUGGAAAAUCCGGUGAACUGCUUCGAGACAGUUUGACCUAGCCACGAGGGACUUUGCGCUCGAGUCUUCUUGUCGAGAGAGAGAGAGAGAGAGAGAGAAAGGAUGAAUCAACUCUGUCUAUUUCGGCGAGGACCUAACCAUGGUCACCCUCAACUUUACCCUCAUUCUCACCCCUCGUUCUCGUUCUCGCUCUUCCGCUCUUCCGCUCUUUCUUGCAUGGCCGAGUUCCUCAGCGGAAAACUGGCUUCGCUCUGCCACUGUCCUUACGUAUAGCUGCCGCUUGGUCUGAGUUGAUGUGGGUCGGAUGAAGAAUCAGGGUCAAGUUCAUGGUCGUGCUAAAGAGAGCAUGCUGCUGGCUGCGACUAAUGCACGCGUUUUCGAGCUCGCCCCUCGAUUUCGUUUUGCGCAUUUUUGACGAGAAAACGAAUCGUUUGACAAUAUCCGAUAUAAAACCGACGAAACUCGGAAGGAAAACUCGUGCGGUUAUUUUUAUCGGCGUACGGCAGACGAAGAGAGAACACGACGGAACGAUAAUACUCUCGACGAGCGGUGGUCAAUGAACGCUUACUGCUAUCGUCACAAACGAGGCGUCUCGUCCAAUUAACCGUUUUUAAUCUCACAAAAGAGAUUUUGCAUCGUUGCAGAUACUUAACGCCUGCACUGCCUGCUCGGGCACAAAGUGAUUUUCAGUUGAACGCUCGAUCGCGAAAUAUUUAUAAAAUGCGGUCGCAAAGUAGAAAAAAAAAAAAGAGAAAAAAGAAAAAAGAAUAGAAAGAAAAAACAUACGCCCGAGCUUUUAUUCUGCGAAGAAAUAUACCGAGCACGUUUGUCCAAAGAUAACUGCCGCGCUAAACGAUGUUUGCAAGAGAAAUGUUAUAAUAUAUUUUUCUGUAUUUUUAAGUCGGAGGACGUCAAAGUUGCAUUUUUCUCGCUCUUUCUCUCUAUAAGUAAUAUUAAUAAAUAUUUAAAUAACAUUUGCUAUAUAAAGAAACAUCUCGUAAUUAUUUUCAAACUAAUGUUAUCUUCAUUUUGCUUUGUCUGCGAAUUUCAAUUUAAUUUGUUAAUGGCUCUUAUUUUUUUCACAUGUGUGUGCGUAUGUGUAUUAUGUUUGCU